rnacentral:rRNA from 1 species
UACAGAGGUCUCAAGCGUUGUUCGGAUUCAUUGGGCGUAAAGGGUGCGUAGGCGGCGCGGUAAGUCGGGUGUGAAAUUUCGAGGCUUAACUUCGAAACUGCAUUCGAUACUGCCGUGCUUGAGGACUGGAGAGGAGACUGGAAUUUACGGUGUAGCGGUGAAAUGCGUAGAUAUCGUAAGGAAGACCAGUGGCGAAGGCGGGUCUCUGGACAGUUCCUGACGCUGAGGCACGAAGGUCAGGGGAGCAAACAGG